GCCUUUACAAUGGGGUGAUAUGACAUAUUGCUAAGCCCAAUACUUAGGUAAUAUUGUGCCAUAUACCAGAGACCAGAUCAAAGGCCUAAUAAGGACUCUUGUACCUGGAGCCAGGACUUGUGCAGGAUGGUGACUCUCAUCCCUGAACAUUUCCACAGGUGUUAUUGUGACAUAUACCUGUGCCCACCUCCUGAGUGAUUUAAUAAUCCUGCCUGUUAUAGCCCACAGAUGACAUAUUGACGUAUACCUGGGCCAAGAACCUUGGUGAUUUGACUCUCAUAUCUUAACAGUGUCCUCAGAAGGGACCGUCACAUAUCUCUGGACCCAUCAUCUAGGUUAUGUGACUCUCCUCUCCUACCUGAACCCUGCUUCCAGUGAAGAGUGUAGCAUUUCUAAGCACUGCAUCCAAAUGACAUGACUCUCUUGCCUGGGCCCUUUUAACAGGAGUUGUGACAUAUCUCUAGGCCCAUCACUUAGGUGAUGCGACUCUCCUUUCCUGCCUGGAUGUUCUCCACAAGAGGCAUUAUGCCAUAGAGCUGAGCCUAGCACCCAAGUUUUGUGACUUUUCUGUUAGGGCCCUGCCUACAAAGAGAAUAUUGGAAUAUUUCUGGCUUAGGAUUUAGGUGAUGUGGUUGUCCUGCCUGUUUAAUAACUACAGAGGGGAUGGUGACACAUACCUAGGCACAGCUAACGGGCAUGAUAAUGACUCAUAUGUGGACCCAGCCAAUAGGAGAAAUUUUGACUCAUAACUAGGUUUAGGGACAUGAGUGAUGUAAAGGGUCUCCUUCUGGUAAAAAGGUCACAGAAGAUUAUAACACACACAUAUUUUAUAACACCCUUGGGUUGUAUAGAGAGUGUCAGAACAGGGCCUAGCACAUGGAGAAAAUUGUGAGUCUCAUAUGCACACCCACCUGACAGUAAGGACUUUCACCAUCACAGAUGGAUGAAGGCAACUGUCCUACAUGAAAACAGAACAUGUGUGGUAUUGUAAAUCUAAUCCCUAAAAUUUUAUUUCAUCGUGAUAGUCAUGUGAUAUAAAUUUCAUGUGAUAUAAAUCUUUGCCAAGCACCUGUGAGAUUUCACUCUUCAGACUGGUUCCAGCCUACAUAUGGGAUUUUGAUAUCUACCUGGGCCAACCUUGAAGUGUUAAAGAACUCUUCUGCCUGGGCCCUACUCUCAGUAAGAAUUGUGACAUCACUGGAUCCAGCACGCAGCUGCACCAUGCCCACAGACAUCAUCGUGACAUAUCUCUGUGUCCAUCACUUAGAAGAUGUAACUCUCCUCUCUGGAAAAGACCCUACACACAGGGCAGAAUAGUGACAUAUUCCUAGGCCAGGCACACAGGUGAUGAUACUUUUUUGCCAGGCCAUGCCCAAAAGAGAACAUUUUGACAUAUCAGAGGGCCUAUCAUGUAGGUGAUAUGGCUCUUCUUGGGACCUACCACUUGAAUAGUGACAUAUUGCUAGGCUAUGCAAAAAGGUGAUGGUACUCUUUUGCCAGGGCCAUGCUUUAAGGAAGGCUUUGUGACAUAUCUCUGGGCCUAUCACCUAGGUGAUGUGACUUCCUGCUUGGCCCUGCCCACAUCGAGCAUUGUGACAUAAGGGUGGAACCUGCACCUAGGUGAUGGAACUCUCUUGCUUGGAUCCUUUUCUAAGGGGGACUGGUGAAUAUCUCUGGACCCAGGACCAGGUGAUGUGGCUCUGCAGCCUGGGUUCUGCCCACAUAUUAAAUUGUGACAUAUACUUAAAGAAGCACCUAUAUGAUAUGACUGUCUUCUUCUGCCUGAGCCCUGCCUACUGGUGACAUUGGACCAUAUCUCUGAGCCCCUGACCUAAGUGAUGGGACUCUCUUCUGUCUGGGCCUUUACAAUGGGAAGAUUGUGACAUGUUGAUGAGCCCAGCACUUCGGUAUUGUGACUCUCGUCUUGUUGCUGAACAAUGCCCGUGAACAGGACUUUUGCCGUAUUUCAGAGCCCAGCACCCAGUUGAUGUUACUCUUCUGCAUAAACAGGUCAUGCAUAAAGAGGGA
rnacentral:lncRNA from 10 species